AAUGAACGCUGGCGGCAGGCCUAACACAUGCAAGUCGAACGGAUCCUUCGGGAUUAGUGGCGGACGGGUGAGUAACGCGUGGGAACAUACCCUUUGGUACGGAAUAGCCUUGGGAAACUGGGACUAAUACCGUCUGUUGUCGAGAGAAGAAAGUUUUAUCGCCAAUGGAUUGGCCCGCGUUGGAUUAGGUAGUUGGUGGGGUAAUGGCCUACCAAGCCGACGAUCCAUAGCUGGGUUGAGAGGAUGAUCAGCCACACUGGGACUGAGACACGGCCCAGACUCCUACGGGAGGCAGCAGUGGGGAAUCUUAGACAAUGGGGGAAGCCCUGAUCUAGCCAUGCCGCGUGAUCGAUGAAGGCCUUAGGGUUGUAAAGAUCUUUCAGGUGGGAAGAUAAUGACUGUACCACCAGAAGAAGCCCCGGCUAACUCCGUGCCAGCCGCCGCGGUAA
rnacentral:rRNA from 1 species